UCACAUCCUAUGCCUACGUAUCUUCUUUAUCCAGAGUAAGAAUCAGAGCACUCGUAGCUCGGCUAACGCACGCCGAAACAAAACACCGAAAAGAGACGCUGAGACGUCAAAAGAAACACUCAAAAGGAAACGGAAUGCCAAUACAUGGACUUACACCCGACUCCUGACAACCCACACGAAAGGAAACAGAAUGCCAAUACAUGGACUUAUAUCCGACUCCAAACAAACACCAAAAACAAGGAAACAGAAUGCCAAACAUGG
rnacentral:lncRNA from 1 species